CUCCUGUUGAACCUGAGAGUGCCCGCUCCAUACCUGCCACAAGGAGCUAAUGCUCCAACCCAGUGGUUUUCCAACUCUGGGCCACAUGCAAGGAGGCAGAGGCCUUGCCAUGAUUCUCUUCCACGUCGCACGCAGAAAGACAGAACGGGAACGCACUCCAAAACUCCCAGCUCUGGAGGGCCAAGCCCACAUUGUAACCCGUAUCAGUCAGACCCUAAAGCCCAGGGUAUUCCCACUGUUCUGUGUGGCCAUCCCUGUGGCUGGCUGCAGAGAGCAGCAGGGGCACGGAUUGUUACAAUGGAAUGAACCGGGACACAGGCAUGGGAUGGAAUACUGCAGAACACUGAAAAAGAAGGCUCUUCUGUGACAAGCAGCGACCUGGAUGAAUGACCCAAACAUUAUGUUGAGCGAAAGAAGUACGACGAACGAAGAACACAGUAUGGUGUGCCCCAUUUGUUUUCCAUGUAUAUAAACCUCAAAAACUGGUGAAACUGAUCUGUGGGGAUAGAAGUCAAAGUAGUAGUUACCCUUGGGGCAGGAGGGGGAAUUACUGAUGGGGAGGAGGCCAGGGAGAGCCUUCUGGAGCCCUGGAAAUGUGCUACAUCUCUAUUGAGGUGGUGAUUACCUAGAUUGAUACAUAUGUAAAAAUGUAUGGAGCUGUACCACUUAGGAUCCAUAGAAAAAGGAUUUUUCAAAGUCCAGUGGGCCAAUAGCUUCUCUCAGAUCUUUGCAUGGCUGGCUCCUUGUCAUUCAGAUUGCCCCUGAAAUGUCAUCUCUUCAGAGAGGCCUUUCCUGAUCCCGACCCUCCACCACCUAAUAGGAUCCAGUAACACACCCCCACCCCAUACCCCAGUUACUUCUUUUUCUUCUAUUAAUUAGUCGUCUUUUAUUUUUCGGCUUGUAUCAGUAGUGUGCUGGAGCUGCCUCUCACCGGCCCUUGCCAACUCAGGGUUCAGUGACUUCAGGUGAGUAGCUUGGAAUCUGCCACAAUGGAAGUAGUUAUACCAAGGAAAUCAGCAGAUGCUGCAGUUAGAGCUCCCCUCCCCCGCAGCUGCUUAUUAAAACAUUUACCCACACGCCCUGUGCAUCUCGC
rnacentral:lncRNA from 1 species